UUUCUGGUGCAAAGAGGAGUCGCACAACCAGCCACACAAAGGUUCUCUCGGCACCUUCUCCAUCUCCGGCGACGUGAACUAUUUUCGGUGCCGACUGCGUCAUUUCUGGCGGCACCAAGCGUAGAGGACAAUGACAGCGUUUGUAUCCUCCAUUUUCAGAGGCACCAAGGUCGGCAGUGUUCAUUUUAGUCUCCUGUCCAAAGUUAAGUAUGACAUUGGUGAUUCUUGUUCGCUGGAUUACCUUAUUGAUAGCAUUUUCCCUCUAUUCAGAAAGCAUAUUGAGCCAGACCUUCCUCAUGCACAGAUUAGAAUUAACAACAGCUUUGUUUCAUCAUUUUGCGAGGUAAUCUAUAAACUAAAAUGCAAAACUGAGUCUCGAGGUGGACAAUCUGCAUAUUUUCUUCAAGAAUAUGAAUUAGAAACAGAUAAUUUUAUUGAGAUGUACCUUAGACCUCCUUCAGCCAGUGAAGAAGCACUGACAAAUGAUUGGAUAAAAGUGCGUCAAUCUGGUAUUAGAUAUUAUCUAUCUCUUGGUGAUCAAAGGAUUGUUGACAAGAAUUUCAUCAUCAGGCCAAAAGUUGAGUUUGAGGUAAGGCAUAUCUUCUUAGUGAUUACUAACAAAAUUUUCACAUUGAUAGGCGAAAUUAUUUCAAUAAGCCAUGAUUUUCAAGCAUGUGAAUAGUAAAAAGACCCAAGCUUGUCAGGCCUUACAUUUCCUGUUAUAUAUUGCUUUCUGAGUUGGAAAUUCCUUUAUCCUUGCUAUAUCCAUGCAACAAAAAGACCUUAGUAAUUUGACUAGAUUUGAUAAAUUUUUGUUUGUGUUUCUGGAUUAGAGCCAAAUCCCAGCAGCAGAGCCUUCAUUAAUUGUUUUAAAAAGAGAUGAUUAUUUUGUGCACCCCUAUUAUUAUGAAGCAUGCGUUCCUUCCUUUUACUUUUGGUUUUGUUUUGCACUUGAAGAUAAUUCCUGCUUAAAACUCAUGUGAAAGCUCUUGUGCUUGGGUCAUUUUAUGUGUACAUUAUUUAAUACAUAACUACUUUAUAUUCUUUGCUUUCCGAUUAUCCUUUUAAAUAUCAAAAGCAGGUUGGAAGGAUGACUUUAGGUGGGCUGCUUGCUUUGGGGUACAAUGUAGUUGUCAGUUAUAAAUGAGCAUCUACAUCAGUGAAUAAUGACAAUAUAUCUAUUUCACUUGAAACAAUUGAUACUCUUGGUGAGACAUUCAUGGUGCUGAGGGGUACAAAUCGAAAAACAGUUGGAAAUGAAGCAUCAAAGAUGGGCGUUAGUGGACCGUGGCUCACUAAAUCAUAUCUUAAAAUGAGUAUGGAUAGAAAAGGUUGUAAACGAGACAAUGUUUUUCUAAUUUAUUAAUGUUUAUUUUACUUGUG